rnacentral:rRNA from 1 species
UACGUAGGGUGCAAGCGUUAAUCGGAAUUACUGGGCGUAAAGCGUGCGCAGGCGGUUAUGUAAGACAGUUGUGAAAUCCCGGCUCAACCUGGGAACUGCAUCUGUGACUGCAUAGCUAGAGUACGGUAGAGGGGAUGGAAUUCCGCGUGUAGCAGUGAAAUGCGUAGAUAUGCGGAGGAACACCGAUGGCGAAGGCAAUCCCCUGGACCUGUACUGACGCUCAUGCACGAAAGCGUGGGGAGCAAACAGG